AUUGAACGCUGGCGGCAGGCCUAACACAUGCAAGUCGAGCGAGCGGCGGACGGGUGAGUAAUGUAUGGGGACUGCCCGAUAGAGGGGGAUAACUACUGGAAACGUUGGCUAAUACCGCAUCCUAUCGGAUAACCCAUAUGUGAUUAGCUAGUAGGUGGGGUAAAGGCUCACCUAGGCGACGAUCUCUAGCUGGUCUGAGAGGAUGAUCAGACACACUGGGACUGAGAAACGGCCCAGACUCCUACGGAGGCAGCAGUGGGGAAUAUUGCACAAUGGGCGAAAGCCUGAUGCAGCCAGGCCGCGUGUAUGAAGAAGGCCUUAGGGUUGUAAAGAACGUUCAGCGGGGAGGCGUUACCCGCAGAAGAGGAACAGGCUAACUCAGUGCAAGCAGCCGAGGUAAUAC
rnacentral:rRNA from 1 species